AGCACCCAAAUACUUUGUUAAAAACGCAGCAGGCAAACUACUUCCAGCAGCCCGACGAAAACAAGUUCACUGGUCGCUGUAGAAUAGAGUACCACUUACCCAAAACUUUGGGAAAAGCCCAGGCCAGUGUUCUACAAAAUAUCUAGCUGCGUGUUUAGCCUUUGUCCAAAGUUCUAUGACAAAGUCAACGGAAGCCACUGUAAAAAUCAAAAGAAAUUCGUACAAGUAAGGGGGAUACUCAUUGGGCAAAUGAUCUGUCCAUUCUCUCUUUCC
rnacentral:lncRNA from 1 species